UAAGUGACAUUAUUAUAAUAUGCUGAUCCUUAUAAACAAAUGGGUAAUGCUCCAUCAUCACUUUCCCAAGUGUAUAUACACAGUAGGAAGGACAUGAAAACUUCGCAUUCUUGAUCUGCUAGAGUCAAGAAAAAGACCAUAGCAUUAAUAACAAUAGUAAUCCAAUUCAUUCUAACAUAAACUCAGAAUAUAAGAAGCAAUGUUCACCAUAAAACUUCAAUUAUAUCAUCACUUAUCAGAAUAUGCAAAAGUUAUCUCAUGAAGUUUUUAUUCCAUGCAAUGUUAAAAAUUCACACAUUUCUUUUCGAAUUAAAAAAAAGGAUAUCAGAUCAUGUAUAAAUCAGUGGAAACACAUUCAAAUGCUUCUUUGUUGUCAAAUACAAGUGUGAACUAACAAAGCACAUGAUUUAAAAAGAAAAAAAAGGACAAUAUAUUCUCAUGCUCUGCCAAAUGAGGCGUCGUAGAAGUUGCAGGUGGAUGCUCUUUCUUCUGAAUCUAAAGUGUUGUGAGAGAUUUUGGCAGUCCAGAAGUAAAUGCAGGGAGAAUCACUUUUACAUAAAAUCAGAGAUUUAGAGGAUGACUUUUCUGAGGCACAAGGAACUAUAAUCCAUUGGAAGCUAUUAGCUUUGUCUCUGGUAUACCAGUGAAGCGGUACAUGGCAAUAUCAAUGCCUGUAAAAGAGAUAAAUAUGUUCCCCUGGCGAUACGAGUGAGGAAAUAUUAUGCAGAAGCUAUCUUAGUGCAAGUUUCUUAUUCCUAUGUGCUAUUGUUCAUGCACGAAAAGUUGUCACCAUUACGCCAUCAACAGCCCUGUCUCUCAAAGAUAAGAGUUAUCUGCAUCAAAGUACUGACCAUUCUGUGCAGAACACAUUGUUAUGAGUACUAUGUCCAGUAUUUUUUUUAUUGUUAGUAUUAAUCAUGUGGAUGUUAUGAGACACGUCUCCCAGUGUAGCAAUAUCGUCAGUAUGUAUAUAUAAUUGGUCAACUACAAUGUCUGUAUUAUAUGUUAAUUUUUAAAGCUUCUUUAUGAAAAAGAAUGCGGACAAACAAUGGGGAAGUUUUAAGUGAAGGCGUCAUUUUCCCAUUUAAGUCACUUUUGUAACAUUUGUCUCUUAAUUUGAAUUCGUUGCACAAUAGUAUAAA